AUGUCUGGACGUCCGAUGCUGCAGCUCUGGAAUGAAUGGGCGACCCAAAUCCUUGUCCUACUCAGCUUCACACUGCAGAUUUUCCUCUUUGUCUUCGCUAGGACCCGUCGGCACGGAACCUCCGCCGUGCUGAGGAUCCUCCUGUGGCUAGUGUACCUCAUGGCUGACUCCACCGCUGUCUACACUCUCGGCCAUCUCUCAAUCAAUGGUUCGCCACGCAAGCAGAAGCUCGCGGUAUUCUGGGCGCCCUUUCUCCUGGUGCAUCUUGGUAGCCAGGACACCAUCACCGGCUACGCCCUCGAGGACAACAAGCUCUGGCCACGCCACCUGCUAAAUCUUGGCGUCCAAGCCUUUGGGGUUGCCUAUGUCCUCUAUAAGCACAUCAUGGAGAUCCCCACCUCCCUGGGAUUGGCUACCGGCUUGAUAUUCGCCAUUGGUCUCAUCAAGUAUGCAGAAAGGAUUUGGGCCCUCAAGUGCGCCACCCUGGUCAGCAUCCGGAGCUCUAUCAAUAAUCAUCGGCGUCUCCCUAAUUAUGAUGAGCUUUCCCCCCAGGCAUUGAGGGCAGAGGAGUGUGAUGAAGAGGAGCUCCUGUUGUUUGCUCAAGCCAUGCUCCCUCUUUGCAAGGGUGCUAUCUCUGAUUCUCCGGUGGCUUUGUUUAGUUUCAAAGUUAGAGGUACAGGGUCACUUGCAUCUAUAUAUGAAUGGAAGAGAUGGAACUGGAAAGCUACGUACAAGGUGGUGGAGAUGGAGCUCUCCCUCAUGUAUGACGUCAUCUACACCAAGGCAGUGGUGAUCCAUACUUGGUAUGGUUACUUGUUCCGUCUGGUUUCACCCUUGGCCACCAUCGCCGCGUUCGUCAUGUUCCAGUUAAGUGGUAAUAAAAAUGGUUACAACAGAGUCGAUGUUGUUACCACGUACAUCUUGUUGGUCGGGGCCUUCCUUCUGGACAUGGCGUCGGUGUUCAGUACUCUGGGGUCGACCUGGUCAUGUAGUUUCCUGUGGACCAGAGGCUGGAGUAAUCUUGGUCUUGUCAUCCUGUCUCUUCGUCGGCGUGUCAAGGCUGCCGGCAGUAGAGGGUGGUCAGGCUCAAUUGGGCAGUUCAACUUGUUGCAUUUCUUCUCCCCUGACACGUACAAGAUAAGAAGCAGAGUGGCCAAGAUGAUGGGUCUGGAGGAUUGGUGGGACAAAUGGCGUUGCUCUGAAACCCUAGUGAUUUCACAGGAUGUCAAGGAGUUGGUGUUCAAACAUGUAUGGCAACUAGUGAAGAAGAUUCACCAUCCAAGUGCAGAAAAUGAGAUUGAGUCCUCACCUUGCGAGAAUGGCAUGGUAGGACUCAUGGGGAUGAUGCCACCUAUGAAUGAUUUGCCGGGCUUUCGUCCUGCACUAUACAAUGAAACUGCCAGGAGGCGCGAGAGAUUAGACGAUGCUCUCAACUUUGAUGCCGAACUCCAAGAGGUGAUCCUUACCUGGCACGUCUUCACAAAUGUUUUCCUCUUGUCCAUCGACACCCCCAAGGAUGCGGCAUCAUCCACUUAUCUGAAGGCGAUCAAGGCCCUGUCAGAUUACAUGGUAUUCCUCGUAGCGGUACGUCCUGACAUGAUACCCGGUCUUGAACUACGCAGCAUGUACGAAUCAACCGUCCAAGAUUUGAGGUGCAUAUGUUGUCCAUGGGGUAGCCAUACUUCCUCUAUAGAUAGCGUGAAGAGGCUUGUCAGCAUCCUGCAAGACCGCACGCACGAGGAUAUGGGAGAGGCAUGCGUAACUCUCUGGCAUGGGACUUUAUAUGCCAGGCUGAUGCUGGAACUUGUAGAUGCAGGCAACGGUGAUAAGCCUGGCAUCAUAUCUUGUUACGAGGAUCGUGAUCAUGUCGCCAUGGAUAAACUGGAGCGUCUGAUGCCAGAUCUGGAACACUCAUGCAACGGAGCCGGAGGUGGUGUGUUUGAUAUGCCCAAGGCGUUGGCGCUCAUCUUGGAUGCAUGGGUGCGUCUGCUCGUCUUCGCUUCCGUUCAGUGCAGCAGAGAUGCCCAUGCCAGCCAGAUAAACCGCGGCGGCGAGCUCAUGACCGUUGUGUGGCUCAUGGAAGAACACGCCAACGUGUUUUUCAAGCAACCCACCCCUGGCGGUAUUGAAUCUUUUCUGCUCCAGGCCCUCUGUUAA
rnacentral:rRNA from 1 species